UUUCGAACUGAGGAUUGGGGUUCUCUAUUUCCCUUUCUCUUCCAGCGUCCUUCUUCCUUCUUUCUUCUUGGUCAGAGGCGCUCAGAUUAUUUGCUUCUUCUUUUUUUCUUCUUUUGUUGUCAUUUUUCUUCUUUCUCUAUUUUUACUUCCUCAUCUCUCCUCCAGUCGCUCUCACCCUCAAAAACCAGAUCGAAAAACAUGCCAAACACCAAACAACCAAAUCUGAAUCGUACCUUCGCCAUCCGUUUCGUCAUCCUUCUCUCUCAGCCUCUCACAUCCUGUUUCAUGUCCUAUGAAACCAAUCUUGGCCCAAAAUCCGUAAUACCCAAAUCAAAAAACCUAACACCUCAGCCCCAAAUACCUCCUCCAAUCACACGUGCUCUCUCGACUUCUUGCUUAGCAAUCAGUUGCUUGUCACACUCGAUUUCUGUUUAGCAAUCGAAAUCUUGUCGCUCGUUAGUAAAGCUUUGAAGAUAAGUUAUAGGUUUCUGGUAGUGAUUUGGCUUGAAAUCUGGUAGUGAUUUCAAUUCGCAGCAGUCAAUUUGAAGGUAUUGGAGUUCGAUUCGCAGCAGGCCAUUUGAAGGUAUUGGAGUUCGAUUCGCAGCAGGCCAUUUGAAGGUAUGAUUCCAAUUGAUUUCAUUAUAAAUCUGGGUUUGAGUUGUUCCGUUUGGAUAAUCAUAUAGAGUAAGUGUCUAUGCUUUUGUGGAGAAUCUUUGUGGGGUAUUCCAGCUGCUAUUCUUUCACUGGUGAAUGGGAAACCUCUGAUCUAUAUGAAGUUCCCUUCUGCUUCUGCCAAUGAAAAAGUCGAAAAAGUUUUAUCUGGUCAUUAGAGUAUAUCAUUAUAAAUUUAGUUGCUGGGUUGAUUUUUAGGUGAUUGUGUUUAUAGUGCAGGUGAUUGUGUUUAGUUGCUGGGUUGGAUUUCAUUUAGAAUUUGUCAACAGUAUGAUUGUUGGUAAUGUAUGAACUGUUUUGAUUGUCAGGCAAACUUGAUUAAGUUUUUAUAACCGUUGGGGUUUUGUUCCCUCCCUGACGCAUUACUUCACCAAUAUUCCCUUCUGGUUUUUCUCUUCACCAUCACAUUCUCCUCAUCAUAAGGAUUGGUUUUGUCUCUAGUUUUUCUUCUUUUUCUUCCAGAGGCUCGACUUGUGUCAGCGAUGUGGAGAUGUCAAGUUUGGAGGAGGAGGAGGACUGGAAAUUGGGGCUUUCAAUGGUGGAAGGCUCGGAGGAGGAGGGUCUUCGUUCGGGUUCGGCAGCCCAACUACCGGCUCGGAUGUGAAAUCUGGAGGUUGGAUUUGUACCAAGUAGUUAUGCUAGCUAGAAGAACUGGAUUUGCACAUCUUUAAUCUUUUUGGUUUGGCUAGCUUUUCUGUGCAAUGAUAUAAUUUUCAGCUAGUUUUAGUUUAUUAGUUUCUCAUUACUUGCGUAUUGAAUUCCUCUUUCUUUGACUACUUUUCAAGAUAGAUACAAGUACUUUAAGAAUCUCUUUCUCUAGAUCUGUUCUUUGACUGCUUUUUGGUUUGCCUAGGAACAAUGUGUUCUGUAAGUUAGUUUAGGAGACCGAAAUGCUUUUGCAGAAGUACCAGCAUGUAUUAUUUUGGGAUUUUUUGAUUCUCUUGUAUAUGGUUCUGUCAUUUCCCAGUUCUAGAUUCCUCUGCCACAGUCUUAAUCCAUUUCAUAUAUUAUAUACUAUGUAACUAGUAUACUAUUUAUAAAUCUGAUGUUGGCCUGCCAAUUGUAUCUUUAACUAGACCCAAUAAAGCUAAGCUUUGAGGAUUUCAUAAACUCGUUGUGUUCUAUUUAUGGUCAGGAACUCGUUGACGAGUUAAGGGUAUAUUUUCUCUUCUUUGACAGUGCUGCUUAUGGCAAAAGUGAUCUGUAUCCCUCACGCCCAGUUUAGAGUGAAGCAUAUGAUAUUCAAGAACUAGCCGACACGUUGCAGAUUGGGUCCAAAUUCUAUGUAAUUGGAAUUUCAAUGGGGGCUUACCCUGUUUGGAGUUGCUUGAAAUACAUACCGCACAGGCAUGCUACUUACUUGAAGAGCCAUGGCGCUAUUGUUUUCUUUUUUUGUUUUGAAUAAUGUUUCUGACAUUUACUAAAGAGAGGGACAUUUACUAAACAAGAGAGGGAGACAUUCCUAACCCUUCAUCAUAUGUUAGGCAACAAGUGGUCUCAGAUUGCACAACAUUUGCCUGGAAGGACAGACAAUGAGAUAAAAAAACUUAUGGCAUUCUUAUUUGAAGAAGAAAGUGGCCAAGGCUGAUGAAGAUCAAGAUCAAAUGGAACUAGCUCAAAGCAAGUCUCAGUACACAAGUUUAUAUAUGGGGUGAUUUAUGUAGUGAUUUUACCUUGCAUAAUGAUGUGAUGUAUAUAAAAGGGGGUGAACUUUGAACUUCUAAUUAUGCUUCUAUAUAAUAGUAAGGUUAGAGAGAUUGAAUA